UACGUAGGGUGCAAGCGUUAAUCGGAAUUACUGGGCGUAAAGCGUGCGCAGGCGGUUCGGAAAGAAAGAUGUGAAAUCCCAGGGCUUAACCUUGGAACUGCAUUUUUAACUACCGGGCUAGAGUGUGUCAGAGGGGGGUGGAAUUCCGCGUGUAGCAGUGAAAUGCGUAGAUAUGCGGAGGAACACCGAUGGCGAAGGCAGCCCCCUGGGAUAACACUGACGCUCAUGCACGAAAGCGUGGGGAGCAAACAGGAUUAGAUACCCUGGUAGUCCACGCCCUAAACGAUGUCAACUAGCUGUUGGGGCCUUCGGGCCUUGGUAGCGCAGCUAACGCGUGAAGUUGACCGCCUGGGGAGUACGGUCGCAAGAUUAAA
rnacentral:rRNA from 1 species